rnacentral:rRNA from 1 species
AUUGAACGCUGGCGGCAGGCCUAACACAUGCAAGUCGAGCGGCAGCGGGAAAGUAGCUUGCUACUUUUGCCGGCGAGCGGCGGACGGGUGAGUAAUGCCUGGGGAUCUGCCCAGUCGAGGGGGAUAACAGUUGGAAACGACUGCUAAUACCGCAUACGCCCUACGGGGGAAAGGAGGGGACCUUCGGGCCUUUCGCGAUUGGAUGAACCCAGGUGGGAUUAGCUAGUUGGUGGGGUAAUGGCUCACCAAGGCGACGAUCCCUAGCUGGUCUGAGGGGAUGAUCAGCCAACCUGGAAGUGAGACACGGUCCAGACUCCUACGGGAGGCAGCAGUGGGGAAUAUUGCACAAUGGGGGAAACCCUGAUGCAGCCAUGCCGCGUGUGUGAAGAAGGCCUUCGGGUUGUAAAGCACUUUCAGCGAGGAGGAAAGGUUGUUGGCUAAUACCCAGCAACUGUGACGUUACUCGCAGAAGAAGCACCGGCUAACUCCGUGCCAGCCGCCGCGGUAA